rnacentral:rRNA from 1 species
GAUUGAACGCUGGCGGCAGGCCUAACACAUGCAAGUCGAGCGGAUGAAGGGAGCUUGCUCCUGGAUUCAGCGGCGGACGGGUGAGUAAUGCCUAGGAAUCUGCCUGGUAGUGGGGGAUAACGUCCGGAAACGGGCGCUAAUACCGCAUACGUCCUGAGGGAGAAAGUGGGGGAUCUUCGGACCUCACGCUAUCAGAUGAGCCUAGGUCGGAUUAGCUAGUUGGUGGGGUAAAGGCCUACCAAGGCGACGAUCCGUAACUGGUCUGAGGGGAUGAUCAGUCACACUGGAACUGAGACACGGUCCAGACUCCUACGGGAGGCAGCAGUGGGGAAUAUUGGACAAUGGGCGAAAGCCUGAUCCAGCCAUGCCGCGUGUGUGAAGAAGGUCUUCGGAUUGUAAAGCACUUUAAGUUGGGAGGAAGGGCAGUAAGUUAAUACCUUGCUGUUUUGACGUUACCAACAGAAUAAGCACCGGCUAACUUCGUG